rnacentral:lncRNA from 1 species
AGUGCGCACGCGCACUUGUGUAAAAAGCGAGGACGUGAGCGUUCUGGAAGCUUUGCUCUUUUCACUGUUAGUGAGGAGCGGUCAAGGAUGCGUAUUAAGAAAAUAACUAGAAGUGGCCGCAUGAUGUACCUCUCACCAAUGAGAUGCCUGUCAAGGGUAUACGUGGGUCUUUUGAGAUCUUAUUCACUGAUUUGAAGAGUUCACGCAUCGAGCCAGUAGGCGGUGCACAUGGGUAAAAACUGGCUGUGGCUAAACAGUUACUCUUAGAAGAAAGCAAGCAUUGAGAGUAAGGAACAAAUGCCAAUGAUGACAACCCAAACACUAUGUAUUGUAAAUGAAGUUGACUUAUUGGUUUCUUUAUCCACCAAUAAAUUAAAAGGAAACUUACAGGAAAUGGACACAGCCCCGGAUAAAUGCGACUUACUAAGAUUCAACCAAGAAGUAAAAAUCCUGAGCACACCAAUACAACUAAUGGAUUUAAUCAUUAAU